rnacentral:rRNA from 1 species
UGGGGAAUAUUGCGCAAUGGGCGAAAGCCUGACGCAGCAACGCCGUGUGAGGGAUGAAGGCUUUCGGGUCGUAAACCUCUGUCGGAAGGGAAGAACGGGUGGUGGUCUAAUAGGCCUCCAUUUUGACGGUACCUUUAGAGGAAGCACCGGCUAACUCCGUGCCAGCAGCCGCGGUAAUACGGAGGGUGCAAGCGUUAUUCGGAAUUACUGGGCGUAAAGCGCACGUAGGCGGCCUUGUAAGUCAGGGGUGAAAUCCCACGGCUCAACCGUGGAACUGCCUUUGAAACUGCAGGGCUUGAAUCCUGGAGAGGGUGGCGGAAUUCCUGGUGUAGGAGUGAAAUCCGUAGAUAUCAGGAGGAACACCGGUGGCGAAGGCGGCCACCUGGACAGGUAUUGACGCUGAGGUGCGAAAGUGUGGGGAGCAAACA